rnacentral:rRNA from 1 species
AUUGAACGCUGGCGGCAGGCCUAACACAUGCAAGUCGAGCGGAUGAGGGGUGCUUGCACUCCGAUUCAGCGGCGGACGGGUGAGUAAUGCCUAGGAAUCUGCCCGAUAGUGGGGGACAACGUUUCGAAAGGAACGCUAAUACCGCAUCCGUCCUACGAGCGAAAGUGGGGGCUCUUCGGACCUCACGCUAUCGGAUGAGCCUAGGUCGGAUUAGCUAGUUGGUGGGGUAAAGGCUCACCAAGGCGACGAUCCGUAACUGGUCUGAGAGGAUGAUCAGUCACACUGGAACUGAGACACGGUCCAGACUCCUACGGGAGGCAGCAGUGGGGAAUAUUGGACAAUGGGCGAAAGCCUGAUCCAGCCAUGCCGCGUGUGUGAAGAAGGUCUUCGGAUUGUAAAGCACUUUAAGUCGGGAGGAAGGGCUGUAGGUUAAUACCUUGCAGCCUUGACGUUACCGACAGAAUAAGCACCGGCUAACUUCGUGCCAGCCGCCGCGGUAAAAC